rnacentral:tRNA from 1 species
GCCGCUUUAGCACUGAAGGUCAGUGUAUCCGUCUGAAACAUGGAAGAAUGCGGUUCGAUCCCGCGAGGCGGCG